CCGUGUCUCUUCCACCAAAUCGAAGCCGCCGCCGUCGCACGUUGCUCCCACCCGCCGCACACCUGCUCCCACCCGCCCCGGCCUCGCCCGCCAUGGCCGCCCCCGCCACCGGCCGCCCCCACCGCGGCCGCCCAAGCUCGCACCCGCUGCGGCUACCCCUAGCCCCGGCCCCGCCCGCCGCGGCCGCCCCCGCCCCUGGCCCCGCCAGGGGAUCCACGCCGAGGACGACUACCCGUACCUCAUGGAAGAAGGCUGUUGCAAAGAGAAACAAGUUCGCACACAAAAAUCUUCACAUGUGAACUGGAUGAUACUAGGAUGCAGGGUUCUAAUCCUUUGCUCUGGCGUGCGUGUUUAGCCCCAAGUUGAUGUCGUCACUAUAACUGGGUACGAGGAUGUCCUAGAGAACAGCGAGAUCAGCCUGCUGAAAGCGUUGGCCCAUCAGCCUGUCAGCAUCGGCAUAACUGCAGGGAGUAGGGACUUCCAGUUCUACAGAGGGGGGGUGUUUGACGGGGCCUGCAGCGUCGAGCUCCACCAUGAGCUGACGGCCGUCGGGUACGGCUCGUCGUAUGGCCAGAACUACAUCACCAUGAAGAACUCGUGGGGCAAGAACUGGGGGGAGCAAGGCUACGUCAGGAUAAAGAUGGGCACCGGGAAGCCAGAGGGUGUCUGCGGAAUCUAUACCAUGGCCUCCUAUCCCUUGAAAAAUGCAACACGCUGGGGUACCUAAUUUUUUUGUAAUGAGUUUGUUCGAAAGUAUUAUUUUUAAUAUAAUCCACAUGGCAAGAUGCCUUUUUACCAUUGCUGUCAAGAUCCCAUACUUGAUUUCCCAAAAUCCAUGUUACACUCACCACUCCAGCACGAUAGGAACAACUAUAUAUUGUGAUCUAUCUACACGACUGUCUUGGAAGGCGGUAUAUAAUUGCGCGGCCAAGUGGUAACCAAAGUAUGGUCAGUUAAUCGGAACAACGUGCUCGUCUUCCUUUAACCUCCGCUCCCAAUCUCACCGGCAGGUGUUAAUCAAGUAUUGCUAACGAAGGAUUCACUAUGUUUGGUAGUGAAGGGCGAUGUCCGGAGAGUAAGAACGAGGCGACACAGUAUGGACUCGAUAUGACCGAGCAACAAUAUCUUGAGCAUUCGAUUCCAUGGAUAGCUGCCAAUGAUGCUGCUUGGCGUGCGUUUUGUCGUUACUGGGCUUCGGCUGAAUUCAAGGCAAAGUCUGUGCGACACAGUUCUAAUCAUGGAACCGAGUCAUAUCACAAGUAUGGAGGUGAUGAUCACUUUCGUUUGGCAAAACGAAUGGAAGCUAGCACUGGUGCAGUGCCUAGUGAUGUUCAAAUAUACCUUAGGGGGCACAGAGGACCAGAUCCUGCAAAUCUAGAUGUGUUGUACAGCCAAAAGCAACAGAUUGUGUGGCUGCAUAUGGUGAGGCGAUGUCUAGUCAGCAUGGACCAAACUAUGAUUGGAGGACCUCACAUAUUGAUCCUCAGGUUGUGUAUGCAAGUGGUGGAAAAGCUCAUGGAAGGUACACAAUGUUUGCUAACGUCAUCGACUCGAGCCAGGUGAGGGUUCAGCGUGGAGGUUCGUCGUGGUCUGCUGCUCGUAGCUCCCGUCUCUCCACUCAAGAUCCAGCAGAAGUGGAACAACUGCGAGAAGAACUUAGGCGACAUCAGGAUUUCUUGAAGCAACAAGCUGCGCAACAUGAAUAUUAUGCUACACAGAUUCAACAACAGCAAAACACUCAUACAACAACUAGCACAGGCUCAAGGGAUACACGUCCUGGUGCCCCCCCACCACCACCUCAUGUUCAUUAUCCUUGGUCUUCACCUCCACCUACACCUACAUCUCCAUCUACCGAACAUCAGACCCCUCCAGCCAUCUUGCCGACGCAUGAACGAGAAGACGGGUUAGACUUUGUUAAAACCCUCUUCGCUAGUGGAGGUAUCGACCAUCACUCGUCACUGUAACCCGAUGGUGAUCGGCGACCGUGAGCUUCCAUGUUAUUGUGCUUUGAUACUUGAGACUUUUAUUAUGACUAUCUAUGAGAUAUUGUCUCUUAUUAGUACUGGAUGAUGAGAUGUGUCUUAUUAUGACUAUGGAUGAGACUUUUGUGAUGUAAUUAAUAAGACUAUGGAUUUAAAUAUUGUUAUGUGAUUGUGUGUGAGAUGUUUUAUGUGAAAAUAUGU